CGAGUUCACAGACCUUGGAGGGAGGAAUGCCAGUGCAGCGACAAAGCGUAUUCUUGCGUACACCCUUCAUGAUGACCUGGCCACACUUUUUUCGUGGGUUGGCCGAAAGGGGAAACUUAGUUUCUCUAGUCUGAAGACUACAGCUGCAAUUAUUGUUGCUGCAAGACGGAUGACAGAAGGCAGCACUAACGAUAUUGAAGACACCAUCAAAUCGUGGCUAAGGCAUGCUCCAGAAAGGGCCGGUAGCCAUAAGAAGCCAAGCGCUGAGGUCUGCCUGCCUCAAGAAUAAGUGGAGGCCAUUCCAUUGUAAAGCACUGCAGCUAUGACCUGAAGACUGCACAGGCAUCAGAGGCUGCUUGGUUGUGGGCGUGUGCAUCUGGUGGAACUUAGGGGAUCUGCUGGGCUACGCCAAGGCAUGUUUCGUGGACUAGAGGCAGCUACUCAGAGAUUUUUUUUUUAACUUUGCACAGUGCAAUUGCAGAAUUUUUUUUCAUGCAUUGGAAGGAUUCUGCCUGUCAUCUGCAUUGUCAAAUCACUUGCAAAGUCAUGCUCUUGCUAGGCUCCAUCAAUAUAGUUUUGUGCAGAAUUUGUGUGCGAGAACUUUUUAUUGUUUUUGUUUUUUAAUGUCAUGGCAGUCUUCUGUAUUGGUGAAAUUGCUACCAUUGCAAAGCCAUGGUUUUCUGAAAUGCUGUUAUUCUGCUACUGUACAAAACUUGUGUGCGAAAUACUUACAUUAGACGCAAGAUCUUUUUACCUCAAUAUUUCAGAGUAUUUCUGUUUGUUCUGUAUGUGCAUCUACAUGUCCACCCAUUGUUAGCAUAAACACACCAGUGCAUGGUUCGUGCACAAUGCAGUGCACAAGCGGCAAAAACCACAUGCAUGUGUGAAAUGCUAAGGCAGUGUAUUCCGUGGGAUCGUUGCCCAGAUUUCUCUGCACAGAAGCGGUUGGCUUGCCAGGAAUAAAUUUGACUGUUUUGCAGUCUUGCUCAUCUGCCUGAGACCUAGCUCGCAAGGAGGAUCCUGAAUCCUUUGCUUGUAUCUGUAGGCCACCGUCGUAAGUGGCACAUUCACUGUUGCAUAAAUCCCACGCUUACUGUAGCCCUACUGUGAAGUGUCCACAAUCUGUCCUCUUUGCAUGGCUGUGAGAAUCCCAGCCAUUUCCUGUUUCUGAGCGCAAGGAAUGAAAAGACUGCGACGCAUGCCUUAGUGGCAAUUCAGAGGAACCCUCAAAAGACCAAAUAAAUAUGUUAGCUUUUUUAUCCUGCAAUUGCAGCUUGGACUGACCCCGACAUAUACGGGCAUCACUGAAGCAUGCUGUGCAUAAGUAUAGCAAACAAGCUGCUCCUGUUGCAUUAUGCUAGUGUCGUGUUCUGCCGUGCUCUAUCUGUGAAAUGAACACAUACUGGCCUAUUGUCCAAAGCACUUUUUGUCACUGGAUCUUGAGGGUUUUUCUAACCUCUGCCUUUAUUAUGCAUGUUGCUGCCUCUGCAAAGCUACCCCUUCGUGAGACCAAUAUUGUGCCUGUGUAAAAUAACUUGUGAGAGCUUUUUACUUUAUAUAUUUUUUAUGUCAUGGAAGAUUCCUUUUAUAUUGCUGCUGCUGUAAAGCCAUACUUG